rnacentral:rRNA from 1 species
AUUGAACGCUGGCGGCAGGCCUAACACAUGCAAGUCGAACGAGUGGCGGACGGGUGAGUAAUGUCUGGGAAACUUCCUGAUGUAGGGGGAUAACUACUGGAACCGGUAGCUACUACCGCAUCCCCUCCGAUUUGCCCAGAUGGGAUUAGCUAGUAGGUGGGGUAAAGGCUCACCUAGGCGACGCUCCCUAGCUGGUCUGAGAGGAUGACCAGCAACACUGGAACUGAGACACGGUCCAGACUCCUACGGGAGGGAGAAGUGGGGAAGAUUGCACAAUGGGCGAAAGCCUGAUGCAGCGAGGCCGCGUGUAUGAAGAAGGCCUUCGGGUUGUAAAGUACUGUCAGCGGGGAGGCGUUACCCGCAGAAGAAGCACCGGCUAACUCCGUGCCAGCAGCCGCGGUAAUAC